AGUUGUUGCAGUUAAAAAGCUCGUAGUUGGAUUUCUGUUAAUAAUUUAUAUAAAAUAUUUUGAUGAAUAUUUAUAUAAUAUUAACAUAAUUCAUAUUACUAUAUAUUUUAGUAUAUGAAAUUUUACUUUGAGAAAAUUAGAGUGCUUAAAGCAGGCAUAUGCCUUGAAUACUCCAGCAUGGAAUAAUAUUAAAGAUUUUUAUCUUUCUUAUUGGUUCUAAGAUAAGAAUAAUGAUUAAUAGGGACAGUUGGGGGCAUUUGUAUUUAACAGUCAGAGGUGAAAUUCUUAGAUUUGUUAAAGACAAACUAGUGCGAAAGCAUUUGCCAAGGAUGUUUUCAUUAAUCAAGAACGAAAGUUAGGGGAUCGAAGACGAUCAGAUACCGUCGUAGUCUUAACCAUAAACUAUGCCAACUAGAGAUUGGAGGUUGUUCCUUACUCCUUCAGGACCUUAAUAUU
rnacentral:rRNA from 1 species